UAUAAUGCAGUUGAGCGCUGAAGAUUGGUACUUGUACCGAUUGGAUGAGCAGCGAACGGGUGAGUAACGCGUGGGGAAUCUGCCUUUGAGCGGGGGACAACAUUUGGAAACGAAUGCUAAUACCGCAUAAUAGCUUUAAACAUAAGUUUUAAGUUUGAAAGAUGCAAUUGCAUCACUCAAAGAUGAUCCCGCGUUGUAUUAGCUAGUUGGUGAGGUAAAGGCUCACCAAGGCGAUGAUACAUAGCCGACCUGAGAGGGUGAUCGGCCACAUUGGGACUGAGACACGGCCCAAACUCCUACGGGAGGCAGCAGUAGGGAAUCUUCGGCAAUGGACGAAAGUCUGACCGAGCAACGCCGCGUGAGUGAAGAAGGUUUUCGGAUCGUAAAACUCUGUUGUUAGAGAAGAACGACGAGGAGAGUGGAAAGCUCCUCGUGUGACGGUAUCUAACCAGAAAGGGACGGCUAACUACGUGCCAGCAGCCGCGGUAAUACGUAGGUCCCGAGCGUUGUCCGGAUUUAUUGGGCGUAAAGCGAGCGCAGGUGGUUUAUUAAGUCUGGUGUAAAAGGCAGUGGCUCAACCAUUGUAUGCAUUGGAAACUGGUAGACUUGAGUGCAGGAGAGGAGAGUGGAAUUCCAUGUGUAGCGGUGAAAUGCGUAGAUAUAUGGAGGAACACCGGUGGCGAAAGCGGCUCUCUGGCCUGUAACUGACACUGAGGCUCGAAAGCGUGGGGAGCAAACAGGAUUAGAUACCCUGGUAGUCCACGCCGUAAACGAUGAGUGCUAGAU
rnacentral:rRNA from 1 species